rnacentral:lncRNA from 1 species
UGGGAAGAAAAGCCCAGUGUGACCGCAGCUUAAGACUGAUCGUGCUCCUCCCGAAAUGUUUUAUAAAACAUCACAGAGUGUGUGUGUGUGUGUGUGAGUGAAUGAGUGUGUACGGGUGUUUCCCAGUACUGGGUUGCAGCUGGAAGGGCAUCAGCUGCGUAAAACAUAAUCUGGAAAAGUUGGCGGUUCAUUCCGCUGUGGUAACCCCUGAUAAAUAAAGAGACUCAGUAGAAAGGAAAAUGAAUAUAUUAUAAUUAUGUGUAUAUUAUUUAAACAGCCUUUAUUGCAAUAUUUUUAAAGAUAUUCCAUAAUAUAUACAUGUGAAAUCCAAACAUGAACAUGUAAUACGUGUAAUUUGCAUAUAUAGACGUGUAUUAAAUUUCUAUAAGGGAAAUACAGACUUAAAAACCACUUCUGAAAAUCCACCAAAUCCGUAAAGCAGGGAGUUUUUGUGUGUUUCUCAUCAUGCAAAGCUCAGAUCUCAGGAGGAUGUUUUAUGUAUAUAUUUUAUUUUCGUGUAGAGUGUUAGACGGCUUCUUUUCUUUGAUUUCCACAUCGACGUCUUCUACUACCUUCGAUCCUUACGGUACUCCACAUGUUGAUUUAUUUUUGCAUCAUAAGAAUGUGUAAAGUAUAACGGUGCAAGAGAAUCUUUAUUUUGUCAGCUACUCUGUGACCAUUCAGUUUUUUCAUUAAAGAAUUCUUGAAUAUUGGUAUGAAGUAGAUAUUAAAAAAUAAAGACAUAAACCUG